UACGUAGGCAGCGAGCGUUGUUCGGAAUUACUGGGCGUAAAGAGUGUGUAGGCGGUGCUCUAAGUUCGGUGUGAAAUCUCCUGGCUCAACUGGGAGGGUGCGCCGGAAACUGGAAUGCUUGAGCGUGGGAGAGGAAAGCGGAAUUCCUGGUGUAGAGGUGAAAUUCGUAGAUAUCAGGAGGAACACCAGUGGCGAAGGCGGCUCUCUGGACGAUAACUGACGCUGAGACGCGAAAGCGUGGGGAGCAAACAGG
rnacentral:rRNA from 1 species